CCUACGGGAGGCAGCAGUGGGGAAUAUUGGGCAAUGGGCGCAAGCCUGACCCAGCAACGCCGCGUGAAGGAAGAAGGCUUUAGGGUUGUAAACUUCUAUCAUCAGGGACGAAGCAAGUGACGGUACCCGAUGAAUAAGCCACGGCUAACUACGUGCCAGCAGCCGCGGUAAUACGUAGGUGGCAAGCGUUAUCCGGAUUUACUGGGUGUAAAGGGCGUGUAGGCGGGAGUGCAAGUCAGAUGUGAAAACUAUGGGCUCAACCCAGAGCCUGCAUUUGAAACUGUACUUCUGGAGUGCUGGAGGGGCAAGCGGAAUUCCGAGUGUAGCGGUGAAAUGCGUAGAUAUACGGAGGAACACCAGUGGCGAAGGCGGAUUGCUGGACAGUGACUGACGCUGAGGCGCGAAGGCGUGGGGAGCAAACAGGAUUAGAUACCCCAGUAGUC
rnacentral:rRNA from 1 species